rnacentral:rRNA from 1 species
ACGCGAUGCAGGCGGCCUGUUAAGUCAGAUGUGAAAGACCCGGGGCGUUAAACCUUCCGGAAAUUAGUCAUUUGUAAACUAGGCAGGCUAGAGUCUUGUAGAGGGGGGUAGGGAAGUUUACAGGUGUAGCGGUGAAAUAGCGUAGAGAUCUGAAGGAAUACCAGUGGCGAAGGCGGCCCCCUGGACAAAGACUGACGCUCAGAUGCGAAAGCGUGGGGAGCAAACAGGAUUAGAUACCCUGGUAG